rnacentral:rRNA from 1 species
GUGGGGAAUCUUAGACAAUGGGGGAAACCCUGAUCUAGCCAUGCCGUGUGAGCGAUGAAGGCCUUAGGGUUGUAAAGCUCUUUCAGAGGGGAAGAUAAUGACGGUACCCUCAGAAGAAGCCCCGGCUAACUCCGUGCCAGCAGCCGCGGUAAUACGGAGGGGGCUAGCGUUGUUCGGAAUUACUGGGCGUAAAGCGCACGUAGGCGGACCAGAAAGUCAGGGGUGAAAUCCCGGGGCUCAACCCCGGAACUGCCUUUGAAACUCCUGGUCUUGAGGUCGAGAGAGGUGAGUGGAAUUCCGAGUGUAGAGGUGAAAUUCGUAGAUAUUCGGAGGAACACCAGUGGCGAAGGCGGCUCACUGGCUCGAUACUGACGCUGAGGUGCGAAAGCGUGGGGAGCAAACAGGAUUAGAAACCCGAGUAGUCC